GUACACUCCUACGGGAGGCAGCAGUGGGGAAUAUUGCACAAUGGGCGCAAGCCUGAUGCAGCCAUGCCGCGUGUAUGAAGAAGGCCUUCGGGUUGUAAAGUACUUUCAGCGGGGAGGAAGGCAAUACGGUUAAUAACCGUGUUGAUUGACGUUACCCGCAGAAGAAGCACCGGCUAACUCCGUGCCAGCAGCCGCGGUAAUACGGAGGGUGCAAGCGUUAAUCGGAAUUACUGGGCGUAAAGCGCACGCAGGCGGUCUGUCAAGUCGGAUGUGAAAUCCCCGGGCUCAACCUGGGAACUGCAUUCGAAACUGGCAGGCUUGAGUCUUGUAGAGGGGGGUAGAAUUCCAGGUGUAGCGGUGAAAUGCGUAGAGAUCUGGAGGAAUACCGGUGGCGAAGGCGGCCCCCUGGACAAAGACUGACGCUCAGGUGCGAAAGCGUGGGGAGCAAACAGGAUUAGAAACCCCAGUAGUCCCAUG
rnacentral:rRNA from 1 species